rnacentral:rRNA from 1 species
GACGAACGCUGGCGGCGUGCUUAACACAUGCAAGUCGAACGGAAAGGCCCUGCUUUUGUGGGUUGCUCGAGUGGCGAACGGGUGAGUAACACGUGAGUAACCUGCCCUUGUCUUUGGGAUAACUUCAGGAAACUGGGGCUCAUACCGGAUAUGAUCUCCUGCUGCAUGUUGGGGGUUGGAAAGUUUCGGCCGUUGUGGAUGGACUCGCGGCUUAUCAGCUUGUUUGUGUGGUAGUUGCUUACCAAGGCUUUGACGGGUAGCCCGCCUGAGAGGGUUACCGGGCACAUGGGGACUGAGAUACGGAGCAGAAUCGUACGGGAGGCAACAGGGGGAAGUAUGGCAGAAUGAGGGGAAGCGUGAUACAGAAACGCCGCGAGCGGGAUAACGGGCUACGAGUUGUAAACAGAUGUGGAAGGAGACGAAGAGUGAGUGACGGUAAUGGGUAAAGAAGCAACGGCUAACUACGUG